GGAGGAAGCUGAGCUAGGUACCGAUGAAAAAUCAGCAGCAGGAGCUGAAGUGGCGGUUCCCCUUCUUUAGGAACUAAAAACCUGGUUGGGAAGAAAAUACUUGGUGGGUGCAAACAGACAGAGUGCAGAUUAAAAGACAGGCAGUUAACCAGAGCCGUGGGAGCCCAGAUCCGGAGGCUGCGAAGCCGGAGACUUCUCCAGAAGAGGAGGAUCGGGGCUUGGUCCUGAAAUGUGGGCGGGGCCUGGAAAGAGAGGAAGGCCAAGGGGCUUCUCAGCAGGGGAAGAGAGCUGGAGCAAGGCAGGCUGGGAAGACACAUGCCUGGGGAACAGUGCUUCAGUCAGUGCUUAAGGCGUCCCCAGAGAUGAGCCGGAGAGGGGCAGUGUGGAGGCCUGGAUGGAAGUGACGCCUGAGGGAGGCCGAGCUGGAGGCAGACGCGGGGUUUGAGAAGGCUGCUGCACCAAAUUCAGUCUCCAGUCCUACUUUGGAGCAUUUGGGAAGUCCAGCAUCUUGAUCUAUCUUUUUGGGGCUGCUUCAUGUGGAAGAUGAAGGCAGUUUCAGCAAAUGAUUUCCAGCAGUUGUCCAAGUGCUUUGACAGAUUUCUGCUUCUGAGACUGCCCUGUUGGGGAACUGAAGGGGUUGGCAUGAUCAGAUGUAGUGUAUUUUAUGAAAGUGUUCAAGACGCCCACGAGUGGAAAAUGCAGUCUCCGCAGCCAAAUCAAACUUCGCCAGAUUCCUUACAGCUGUGAGCGUUGAAAUGA